GAUCGAACCAGAGAGUUAGAGAGAGAGAAAAAAGGAGGCAACGACCGACCUAAGCUGAGAUCGAAAACGACGAACGUCCGAGCUACGAUCAGCCGUAAGGAAAGGAGGCGACGAACGACCCAAGCUAAGAUUGAAGACGACGAACGACGACCCAAGCUAAGUUCCAGCCACUGAGAGGAUAACAGAGAAAGGAGGCAACGAUAUACGAGCGAUAACAUACGAAUCGAAGACGACGAACAUCAGAGCUACGAUCAGCCC